rnacentral:rRNA from 1 species
UACAGAGGGGCGAGCGUUGUUCGGAAUUACUGGGCGUAAAGGGCGCGUAGGCGGCUUGCUAAGUCGGACGUGAAAUCCCUCGGCUCAACCGGGGAACUGCGUCCGAUACUGGCGAGCUUGAAUUCGGGAGAGGGAUGUGGAAUUCCAGGUGUAGCGGUGAAAUGCGUAGAUAUCGUGGAGGAACACCGGUGGCGAAGGCGGCAUCCUGGACCGGCAUUGACGGCUGAAUAG